CACGUAGGGUGCGAGCGUUGUCCGGAAUUAUUGGGCGUAAAGAGCUCGUAGGCGGUGUGUCGCGUCGGCCGUGAAAACCUGCAGCUUAACUGUGGGCUUGCGGUCGAUACGGGCAUCACUGGAGUUCGGCAGGGGAGACUGGAAUUCCUGGUGUAGCGGUGAAAUGCGCAGAUAUCAGGAGGAACACCGGUGGCGAAGGCGGGUCUCUGGGCCGGCACUGACGCUGAGGCGCGAAAGCGUGGGGAGCAAACAGG
rnacentral:rRNA from 1 species